AGCGAACGCUGGCGGCAGGCCUAACACAUGCAAGUCGAACGAACCUUUCGUGGUUAGUUGCUGACGGGUGAGUCACACGUGGGAACGUGCCUUUAGGUUCCGAAUUCUUCAGUUAAAUUUGUGCUAAUAUCGAAUGUGUCCCUCGGGUACAGGAUUAAUCGUCUUUAGUGCGGCCCGCGUCGGUUUAGCUAGUUGGUUGAGGGAAUGGCUCACCAAGGUGACGAAGAUUAGCUGGUCUGAGAGGAUGAUCAGCGACAUUGGGACUGAGACACGGCCCAAAAUCCUACGGGAGGCAGCAGAGGCGAAUCUUGCGCAAUGGGAGAAAGCAUGAAGCAGCCAGGGCGGGAGAAUGAUGAAGGUCGUAGGAUAGUAAAAUUCUUUCACCGGGGACGAUAAUGACGGUACCCGGAGAAGAAGCCCCGGCUAACUUCGUG
rnacentral:rRNA from 1 species